AUGGCACCUCCUGUUUACUGGGGGGCUCAUCCUACUGAGGUGGGCUGGAGUAAUGCACUUGGGUGCCUGGGCUCUAACUUUGGGCCUCAACGAGAGCCAAGUACAAGGCCUCAUGGGCAUCUUCCUGGGCUCUCCUUCCAUGUCACCAUUCACAAGUUUCCAGGGCAGCAGAUGGAAAGCAAAGGACUGAAUUCAGCCACCAUAACCAGAUUCUGUCCCUCUGGGCUGUACCUGCAUCCUGAUGAAGCAGAGAGGAUACGCCUGCAGGUGUGUGCUUCAUAUCUCCAGGGCAGCUUCUGCAGCUCUGGCUCAUCGUCCCAUGGUCCCCACGGCAGGGCCAUUCAUCCACUGUGCUGGUCCCGGAUGGUCUCCACGGCACACGGACAAAAGUUCAGACGCAAUGGAACAUGCUGGGGAAAUCUCAGGUGAGGUGCCUGUGAAGCAGAUUAAAAACAAAUAUGCAGAAAUACAGCAGUUACAUUGGAGAAUAAUCAGUUUAGGCUGACCUUCAGAACUUCCUAACCAGCCGGGGUCAAAGACGAGGACGUUCUUUGCGAUCAGUGAACUAUCUUCCCUGCAAGGGACAAGAGUGUGCAGCACUACGUGACAGGUGUCCUUGGAGGAGUGUGCUCUGUCCCACCCGAUGAUAUUGAUCUUGGUAAAAGCGACAGCAACAUCGCCAGCAAGCUCACUGCAAUCCCCACACAGAAAGUCCCGGCGGCUGUUUCAAAGUGGAGGUCUUUGUUAAAACGUAUUCCUGGAAAACAAUGUUCUUUAUUUGCUUCUCAAGAUGGAUCGAAGUGAGCUAUGGAAA
rnacentral:lncRNA from 1 species